AUUGAACGCUGGCGGAAUGCUUUACACAUGCAAGUCGAACGGCAGCACGGGUGCUUGCACCUGGUGGCGAGUGGCGAACGGGUGAGUAAUAUAUCGGAACGUAUCCAAUAAUGGGGGAUAACUAGCCGAAAGGUUAGCUAAUACCGCAUACGCCCUGAGGGGGAAAGCUGGGGAUCGUAAGACCUAGCGUUGAUGGAGCGGCCGAUAUCUGAUUAGCUAGUUGGUGGGGUAAGAGCCUACCAAGGCGACGAUCAGUAGCUGGUCUGAGAGGACGACCAGCCACACGGGAACUGAGACACGGUCCAGACUCCUACGGGAGGCAGCAGUGGGGAAUUUUGGACAAUGUGGGCAACCCUGAUCCAGCCAUUCCGCGUGAGUGAAGAAGGCCUUCGGGUUGUAAAGCUCUUUCGCAAGGGAAGAAAACUCGAUCUCUAAUAUAGGUUGAGGCUGACGGUACCUUGAUAAGAAGCACCGGCUAACUACGUGCCAGCCGCCGCCGUAA
rnacentral:rRNA from 1 species